CGAGAUGUAGCGCAGUUAGGUAGCGCGCUUGGUUCGGGACCAAGAGGUCAUGGGUUCAAAUCCCAUUAUCUCGACCA
rnacentral:tRNA from 1 species